UACGAAGGGGGCUAGCGUUGCUCGGAAUUACUGGGCGUAAAGGCGCGUAGGCGGAUAGUUUAGUCAGAGGUGAAAGCCCAGGGCUCAACCUUGGAAUUGCCUUGAUACUGGCUAUCUUGAGUUCGGGAGAGGUGAGUGGAAUGCCGAGUGUAGAGGUGAAAUUCGUAGAUAUUCGGCGGAACACCAGUGGCGAAGGCGACUCACUGGCCCGAUACUGACGCUGAGGCGCGAAAGCGUGGGAGCAACAGG
rnacentral:rRNA from 1 species